rnacentral:rRNA from 1 species
UACAGAGGGUGCAAGCGUUAUCCGGAAUGAUUGGGCGUAAAGCGUCUGUAGGUGGCUUUUUAAGUCCGCCGUCAAAUCCCAGGGCUCAACCCUGGACAGGCGGUGGAAACUACCAAGCUGGAGUACGGUAGGGGCAGAGGGAAUUUCCGGUGGAGCGGUGAAAUGCGUAGAGAUGGAAAGACACCAAGCGAGAACACUCUGCUGGGCCGACACUGACACUGAGAGACGAAAGCUAGGGGAGCGAAUGGG